rnacentral:rRNA from 1 species
GACGAACGCUGGCGGCGUGCCUAAUACAUGCAAGUAGAACGCACAGUUUAUACCGUAGCUUGCUACACCAUAGACUGUGAGUUGCGAACGGGUGAGUAACGCGUAGGUAACCUGCCUGGUAGCGGGGGAUAACUAUUGGAAACGAUAGCUAAUACCGCAUAAUAUUGAUUAUUGCAUGAUAAUUGAUUGAAAGAUGCUAUUGCAUCACUACCAGAUGGACCUGCGUUGUAUUAGCUAGUAGGUGAGGUAACGGCUCACCUAGGCGACGAUACAUAGCCGACCUGAGAGGGUGAUCGGCCACACUGGGACUGAGACACGGCCCAGACUCCUACGGGAGGCAGCAGUAGGGAAUCUUCGGCAAUGGACGAAAGUCUGACCGAGCAACGCCGCGUGAGUGAAGAAGGUUUUCGGAUCGUAAAGCUCUGUUGUAAGAGAAGAACGGGUGUGAGAGUGGAAAGUUCACACUGUGACGGUAUCUUAACAGAAAGGGACGGCUAACUACGUG